UGUUUAUUUCGCACCUUCGGCUGUCUUUGGGGCAGCGCACAGCUCCUCUGACUCAGUGGAACUGGCCGGGCGACCGUCUCCUCUCUGAGGGUGAGUACAGGGGAAGUGUGGGUGAGCCACUCAGCCCCGGCAAAGCGGGGACGUCGAGUGGGGUAGAGCGGAGAGCGUGCUGCCUGCCAGACCCCCACGGGCCUGCGUGUUUGAAUCCUGCCUCCGGCCUUUACUGGAGGGGGGAUCUGGGGCACAUCUCCUAAUCUCAAGGCAUCCCUUUUCCUGCUUUGAAGGGGGGACGCAGGCUUCCGCGUGGUUUGGAAGGGAGCUACCUGGGCCCGGCCACACGAAGAGCCCUCGCCGGGUGGCUGCCCCUUUCGCUGUUUUCCUGGCGGCGCUUUUGGAAGUGUGCUCUUCGGUGGAAUGUGGUCCUCUCGGCUUAGCUAUGACUUUUAUUCCAGUGGGAGGUUUUCAGGGUCCUUUGAAUCUCGUGGCCUUUGGCAGCUUCCCUUUUUACACCAGGAUAUCGUCUCAGGACAUUUCAGUGAUCUUAGCAAAGAGUUGCCCACCGUUUGGGUUUUCCAGAGGUUUGUAAACAUGAAUAAUUGGCGUGAAGAUGCCCCCCCCCCCCGCCCCCAAUACAUUCUCCUAAAGUUGCUGUGGUCGGUAAGAACAGCAGCCAGGUUCGUGGUCAGCUCGUGUGGCUGCAGGAAGCAGCGACGACAGAUGCUGUCUGUGCCCCUUGGUGCCCACGGUCAGGGGGCAGACGCGUGCUGGGAGGUGUUUACGACCGACGUUCUCUCGUUUUGGCUGCCUUGCCUCUUGGUCAGAGACCUAAAGGUUACCAUGUCCGCCCCAGACGUCCAGCCAGGCCCCAUCAAGGGAGAACUUCCGUUUUUUGAAAGGCUACUUCCCUUGCUGGUCUCGGCGUUGUGUGUCCAGAAAAGCUUUUUCUUGGCUGUUAAGAAUCUGUUAACUCUAAGUGGCCCUUCUCUUCUGCUAGCACAUUAGAACGUCCCGAAGCCGUCACUGGACUCGACCGUGAGUCGUGGCCACGGACACGCACGUUUUCCUGCAAGACUGAAGGGGGUAUUUGCACAUUGGUGCGACCUUUCCGGUGGGCGGUGUGACAAGGUCCGUCUGGAGUCUUGAAUGUCCUUACCUUUUGGCCCAGGGUCUUCACCUCUGGGAAUUGUGCCCCAAGGAAACUGGUAGAAGAACUCUUCAGGAACGAGAAGAGGGAAGAUUAGUCUAGCAGGAUGAGACCAUUUUUCAGAGGGCUCAAGCGAAUUGCCUAAAGCCACGCAGCAAGCUUGAAGGACCCAAUUCUCAUUCUCAGACCUGUGCUCUCCACCUGGCUAUAUUCAGUGACCCUGGAUUGUGGCUUUUGACCUGGCCACGAAUCUGGAGGCCCCCGGAAGGCAAGGAGUAGUAGCAUCUGUCUUAGGGAAGGAAGGUUUAUGGGCAAGAGGAGAGCCACCCAUCGCUGGGCCAGUCAGAGAUGAGCCCUGCAUUUCUUUCAGUGCCUCCGCUGAGCACCCACACUCUGCUGCGACUCUGCUCUUUAUACACCUUCACCCCUGCUUUUCCACUAACGAGGCGUGAGCGCUUUGCACGGCGUGACUUUAACACCUGCCUCACGCUUCAUCAGGGGGCAGCCUUCCGUGAGUUUGGGACUGGUCUGCUUUUUCCCACCGUUUCUCUCACCUUAAGUAUAAUUGCUCCCGUCUUGGAAGGCAUUUUUGGGGAGUGUUUUCCGGGGCCCCACUUGCAGGAGUGGAAACCCGCUCACUGUGAAUGCUUGGAUCUCACAGGUGUUAGGUGCCAUGAGAUGUGGCUUUAUGGGCUCCGCACAGACCGCGCCAGCCAGAGCGCUCUUAGCAAUGUCUGUUCCUCUGCGAGGUCCGCUCAGCUAUGCGAGUCUUCCCUUGAAAGGGUUUGCCGGCCCCCGGUUAUUCCCUUUUUACACAGAGCGCUUCAGCCAGCACGAUCACAGGCCAGGCGCCGAGACAGAGAGCUGGGCCUUCUUCCGGCUGCCCGGACCUGGGUCUGCCACCGACGCUGUGUGACCUGGAGCGAGGCACGGCCUCGCUUUGAGCCUCAGUUUCCCCACCUCCAAAGACGGCUCUGGGCAGUACGUGAGCCGAUACGAUGCGCAGCGUCUGGCCUGUGGCAGAGGCCAAGGACCAUGGUAAGCGUUUGUACUGCUCGACUUUGCAGGUGAGGAAGCCGAGGCUCGAGAGAAGCGACUUGCCCAAGGUCACACAGGUCGUACGAGGCCAGUUAUCCGCCCCGCUCCCCAGCCUUUCGAGUUGUCCCCUGUAGGGCCCUGCUCCCAGAUGGUUUGCAAAGCUCACAGAUGGCAUAACGGACCAGGUAGUUUCCUUUUCCCCAGGCUGUGCCCGACCCUCCAGAGAAGCAGCAUGUGGUGGCAUCUGGGAGGGGGAGGAAGGGAUACAUCUGGGGAGUGUGGGGGUCUGCAUCUGCCCCCCCUGACCCUGCCCCCUCGGCCAGUCCUUCCACCCCAGUGCCGCGGAUGGGGGUAACAGCCUCUGAUAGCCCAUUCAGAGUUUAGCAAACGGCCGGCUCUCCUGGCCCCCUGGCCUGGAAGGGGCCAGGGACAUACCCAGUUUUAAGCCUGAAAGUUCUGCAUCCCCAGAACCCGGUCGGUCUCCGGCAGACCAGGAAGGGAGACCGCCCUCCCCUUGUCCUCUGCGUCUUCAGGACCUCACUGCUGGUGUCAGAACUGUGGAUCUGGUAACGGAUUCUGGUUCAGGAUGAGCUGAUCUGAGGGGUGGGGACCCAAGGCUGUUCCCAGAGGAGGGGCUGUCCUGUCUCUGACAUGCUUGUGAAUGCGGGCUAAAACAUUGAUCUGGAGCUCCUAUAACCUGAGAGUGGCCUCCAGCCCCGACGUGGGUCUGUUUCGAGCUUCUCAGUCCCUGUUCCUGAGAGCUGGCUACUUCCAAACCUGCUGGGGAAGGGUGGGAAGUUCUAACAUUCUUACCUCCCUUUUUGGGGCCUCGGUUUCCCUGUCUCUGCAGACCGGGGGAGUUUUUGGUCCCUUCCAGGAUGGAGGCCCCAGUGGUGAAUACCCACUGGGUUUCCAGUUUCCAUUAAAAACAUUUUUUUAAUGUUUAUUUAUUUUUGAGAGAGAGAGAGAGAGAGAGGCAGAGAGAGAGGGAGACACAGAAUGCGAAG